ACGGCGCACGGGUGCGUAACACGUGGGUAAUCUGCCCUUCGAUGGGGAAUAACUCGCCGAAAGGCGAGCUAAUUCCGCAUAACAUUCCGGGGACUUUGGUUCUUGGAUUCAAAGGCGUAAGUCGUCGGAGGAGGAGCCCGCGCACGAUUAGCUAGUUGGUGAGGUAAUGGCUCACCGAGGCUUUGAUCGUUAGCUGGUCUGAGAGGAUGGCCAGCCACACUGGAACUGAGACACGGUCCAGACUCCUACGGGAGGCAGCAGUGGGGAAUCUUGCACAAUGGGCGAAAGCCUGAUGCAGCGACGCCGCGUGGGGGAUGAAGCUUCUCGGAGUGUAAACCCCUUUCGACCCGGACGAAUGCCCCGCAAGGGGACUGACGGUACGGGUAUAAGAAGCCCCGGCUAACUACGUGCCAGCAGCCGCGGUAAGACGUAGGGGGCCAGCGUUGCUCGGAAUUACUGGGUGUAAAGGGUUCGUAGGCGGUGUGGCAAGUCGGGAGUGAAAUCUCUGGGCUCAACUCAGAGACUGCUUCCGA
rnacentral:rRNA from 1 species